rfam:Leucobacter sp. G161 contig24, whole genome shotgun sequence.
AGCAACGACACGGGGUGCCGCAACCAGCGGCUGAGAUCAGACCCGUCGAACCUGCUCUCGGUAAUACGAGCGAAGGGAUGUCCCUAUGCACGCAC